rnacentral:rRNA from 1 species
UACGUAGGGUGCAAGCGUUGUCCGGAAUUAUUGGGCGUAAAGAGCUCGUAGGCGGUCUGUCGCGUCGGCUGUGAAAACCCGGAGCUCAACUCCGGGCCUGCAGUCGAUACGGGCAGGCUAGAGUUCGGUAGGGGAGACUGGAAUUCCUGGUGUAGCGGUGAAAUGCGCAGAUAUCAGGAGGAACACCGAUGGCGAAGGCAGGUCUCUGGGCCGAUACUGACGCUGAGGAGCGAAAGCGUGGGGAGCGAACAGG